GGAGGUCUGAUCCAGCAAUGCCGCGUGAGUGAAGAAGGCCUUCGGGUUGUAAAGCUCCGACAGGGAAGAAACACCGGCUCUAACACAGUCCGGGAAUGACGGUACCUGAAAAUAAGCACCGGCUAACUACGUGCCAGCAGCCGCGGUAAUACGA
rnacentral:rRNA from 1 species